GACGAACGCUGGCGGCGUGCCUAAUACAUGCAAGUAGAACGCUGAAGAGAGGAGCUUGCUCUUCUUGGAUGAGUUGCGAACGGGAGAGUAACGCGUAGGUAACCUGCCUUGUAGCGGGGGGUAACUAUUGGAAACGAUAUCUAAUACCGCAUAACAAUGGAUGACAGAUUGCAUUUAUGUGAAAGUGGCAAUUGCUCCACUACAAGAUGGACCUGCGUUGUAUUAGCUAGUAGGUCAGCUAAGGGCUAACCUAGGGGAGGAUACAUAGCCGACCUGAGAGGGUGAGAUGCAAAACUGGGAUGGGAGGACGGCCCAGAAUACUACGAGUGGCAGCAGGAGCAGACCUUCAGGAAUGGGGGCAAUCGUGACCGAGCAACGCCGCGUGAGAGAAGAAGGUAUCCGGGUCGUAAAGCUCUGUAGGAAGUCAAGAACGGAUGUGAGUGUGGAACGUGCAGACAGUGACGGUAGCGUACCAGAAAGCGACGGCUAACUACGUG
rnacentral:rRNA from 1 species